rnacentral:rRNA from 1 species
UACGAAGGGGGCUAGCGUUGUUCGGAAUCACUGGGCGUAAAGCGCGCGUAGGCGGCUUGACAAGUCAGGGGUGAAAUCCCACAGCUUAACUGUGGAACUGCCUUUGAUACUGUCUGGCUAGAAGGCGAUAGGGGAUAGCGGAAUUCCUGGUGUAGAGGUGAAAUUCGUAGAUACCAGGAGGAACACCGGUGGCGAAGGCGGCUAUCUGGAUCGCACUUGACGCUCUGGCGCGAAAGCGUGGGGAUCAAACAGG